GGAAGGAGGAGGCAUACCAUUGAUAGUUUGAAUCAAACCAGUAGAGGACACCACCGUCGGUUAUGGUGUCGAGUGACGGAACUGCAGUGAUCUGGCAGUGUGGCUGUUGACCUCCUUAACAUCAUUCACAUUCGUCGCUCUAAACCCACUCAGCAGACAAGCUAAAUCCUUCUGCUUUAUCACGAGGACAACAAUAGUGCUCAUGUGAGCUUGAACUGUGGUGAAUGCGACUGAUGUUUCAACCGCAUACAAAGAUGAAGUUCUUUUUGUUUCUCGAGUAAUAUUAUCGUAUAUAGGCGUGAUGCCUCUGCAGAGGCGUUUUGGAUCAAUACCUUAUCUUUAUUGUAAAUUAUGUGUGAUCACCGCUAUGAGACACCUUUGGAUGGAUUUAUUACUCCAUAGUUAUUGUAAAUUAUGAACAAAUUAUGCUGUAGUUCCAGUGUUAGUUAUCUGAUCUACUAAAUAUGCCUAUGUUAUCCUGUAGUAAUGCAUAUGCUA